ACUUAGCAAUGUCGCAGAAUAAUUUCAUCUCUUCUGGAGAUUUUCAAUACACCCCAUCCAAUAAUUUAACAACUUUGCAAAAUGUUUACGCUUCUGAAACCAACAGCCUUCAAACUCUUGUACUAGAUUUACAUGGCGAGAUUAAAUCUUUUAAGUCUGAAAUUUCGAGCUUAAAAGAAGAAAUUAAAGAAUUGAAGGAUGGAAAUAAGCGAGCAUUUACCAAACUAACAGAGGAGGUCAUAGCUGUUAAGCUAGAAAACAGAAGGCACCACAAUGACAUCACAUCAAUCGAUGAAUUUGAAGAUUUACAAAAACUUCCUUUGGCCGUUAUUGCUGAUUUAGAAAAAUUGGAUGGCUAGAUACAACACAAUGAAGGCACUCUUAAGCAAUUUAAAGAAUUCAUAGCAAAAACAGGUGGUGACGGACCCGCAAAAUUUCUAAGAACCGCCGUCCGAAAAGUAUUUUGUGACGAAUUGGCUUCUGCUUACAGCUGGAAGGGGACCAGCACUAAGCCAAGCGCCGA